rnacentral:rRNA from 1 species
UACGUAGGGGGCGAGCGUUAUCCGGAUUCACUGGGUGUAAAGGGAGCGUAGACGGCCAUGCAAGCCAGGGGUGAAAGCCCGGGGCCCAACCCCGGGACUGCCCUUGGAACUGCAUGGCUGGAGUGCGGGAGAGGUAAGCGGAAUUCCUAGUGUAGCGGUGAAAUGCGUAGAUAUUAGGAGGAACACCAGUGGCGAAGGCGGCUUACUGGACUGUAACUGACGUUGAGGCUCGAAAGCGUGGGGAGCAAACAGG